rnacentral:rRNA from 1 species
CCUACGGGGGGCAGCAGUGAGGAAUAUUGGUCAAUGGGCGAGAGCCUGAACCAGCCAAGUCGCGUGAGGGAGUACUGCCCUAUGGGUUGUAAACCUCUUUUGUCGGGGAGCAAAAGCCGGACGUGUCCGGCUGUGAGAGUACCCGAAUAAAAAGCAUCGGCUAACACCGUGCCAGCAGCCGCGGUAAUACGGAGGAGGCGAGCGUUUGCCGGUUUUAGUGGGGUAAAAGGGGGCGCAGGCGGAUUUUUAGGUCCGCGGUCAAAUCGGGGGGCUCAACCCCAUCCAGCCGUUGAAACUGGGGAUCUAGAGUGUGCGAGAGGUAUGCGGAAUGCGUGGUGUAGCGGUGAAAUGCAUAGAUAUCACGCAGAACCCCGAUUGCGAAGGCAGCAUACCGGUGCACAACUGACGCUCAGGCACGAAAGCGUGGGUAUCGAACAGGAUUAGAUACCCUUGUAGUC